UGGAGAAAGAAGUAUCAGGGACAUCACCAAUUCCAAAAGCAGAUACAUCAGCAUCACUAUCACUGAAAAAAAUGUCAUCCCAAGCACUAUUUUUCUUACCAGAAGUGGAUGGCGGUGGAGGCAUUUGCAAUUUAACCGCACCAAACUUGUCAUCAUACAGCUUAAAUGCAGUAGAAAGUUCAGCUCUUACAUCAGUGAAGUAAACAGAAUAAUCGGUACUAAUAAGAUUAGAUAACAACCUAAGCACAUUUUGAAAACCUUUCAAUUUAGCUCUAGGGUCCAAGAUGAAUGCAACAGAAUAAAGCAUUGGAAUAUCCCUCCAGUACUUAAGAUAGUAACUUUCAUAGGAAAGACC
rnacentral:lncRNA from 1 species